UUCAGGUAACAACUGUGAUCCAUCUUUAUUAUUAUUCCUAAAUCUCCAAUUGUCCUCAUUCAACUUUUCAGGAGUAACACAGACAUCAUCAAAUUCUGCAACACAAAUAUUAGUUGACUUAGACAUUCCUCAAAUUGCUGAAUUCCGUACAAGCUACAAAUGGGAAGCUCCAUCUCUGCAACAGUAUGCACCUCAAGUACUUCAGUUAUCUCCAAUCCAAGGAGUUGGCCAAAUAUACACACUUGACAAAAUAAUUGAACUACCAGCAACAUCUUUCCAGGCAACAAUCUGCUUACAUUCCAUUAAAAAUAUAUUCAAUUCUGCACACUCUAUAUGCCAACAUAUACUCCAAACGCUUCUCACAAUUUUGUUUUCUCCACAAAUAAAAGGGAGGUGCUACAGGCACAAAAUGGUACUACAAAGCAUGUCGAAAUUGAAAAGUGGGAUAUGGAAGCAUUUCAGAAGAACCAAGAUGUGAUUGUGCAGCCAAUGUACAAACUUCCUAUUACCAUUACAGAUGAUACUGGAAGCAUAGACACAAUAGCUUUCUCUUUCAUAGCUGAAGGCUUGGUAGAACGUAUUGCAUAUCAUGCUUCUCAAAACAUGAAAAUUGACGCAACAGAACAUGUAGCUGCUUUAGAUAAAGCAAUUGGAAAAAUUAGACUCUUUUACAUAGGAAUGAGCACUAAUUCGUCCUCCACUUUUUCCAUCAAAUAUGUCUUGAGGAAGAGUUUUCAAAUAGAGAAUUCAAGUUAACGUUCAAAGGAACCAUCUGCACAGGCAACACCUGUCAUGACAGCACUAUCUUCUCCACCUCCAAACACAGGAUCUGAAAGCUCAAACGUAAAGAGAUCAUUAGAUUCCAAAGAUAACACAGAAUGCAAGGCAAAAGGUCAAACGCCUACCUCCCAAACUCUUUCUAAACGUCAAAGACCAAAAUAACAACACGGCGGAACACUUGGUACAAGCUCUUUGUUCAGCGUCACAUUACCAUAUAUAUAGGCAUCUGUGUCUCUGAUGCUUGACUACUUUUCCUUAUAGUGCUUUUACAAUAAUACUUCAAUAAACUUUCACGUCUGCGGCACUCUAAAUCUCUUAUUUAUGUCAAAACUGAACUUCAUACAAGUACUGUAUUUUUGUGUAUCUAUUUCUGAAUCUGAACAUUCUAAAAGUUGAAGAGUGACCGUGGGAUGCAUAUUUCAGUA